rnacentral:rRNA from 1 species
AUUGAACGCUGGCGGCAGGCCUAACACAUGCAAGUCGAACGGUAACAGGAAGCAGCUUGCUGCUUCGCUGACGAGUGGCGGACGGGUGAGUAAUGUCUGGGAAACCGCCUGAUGGAGGGGGAUAACUACUGGAAACGGUAGCUAAUACCGCAUAACGUCGCAAGACCAAAGAGGGGGACCUUAGGGCCUCUUGCCAUCGGAUGUGCCCAGAUGGGAUUAGCUAGUAGGUGGGGUAACGGCUCACCUAGGCGACGAUCCCUAGCUGGUCUGAGAGGAUGACCAGCCACACUGGAACUGAGACACGGUCCAGACUCCUACGGGAGGCAGCAGUGGGGAAUAUUGCACAAUGGGCGCAAGCCUGAUGCAGCCAUGCCGCGUGUAUGAAGAAGGCCUUCGGGUUGUAAAGUACUUUCAGCGGGGAGGAAGGGAGUAAAGUUAAUACCUUUGCUCAUUGACGUUACCCGCAGAAGAAGCACCGGCUAACUCCGUG